rnacentral:rRNA from 1 species
UACAGGGGGGGGCAAGCGUUGUUCGGAAUUACUGGGCGUAAAGGGCUCGUAGGUGGCCGACUAAGUCAGACGUGAAAUCCCCUCAGCUUAACUGGGGAACUGCGUCUGAUACUGGAUGGCUUGAGUUUGGGAGAGGGAUGCGGAAUUCCAGGUGUAGCGGUGAAAUGCGUAGAUAUCUGGAGGAACACCGGUGGCGAAGGCGGCAUCCUGGACCAACACUGACACUGAGGAGCGAAAGCCAGGGGAGCAAACGGG